UACGGAGGGUGCAAGCGUUGCUCGGAAUCACUGGGCGUAAAGCGACCGCAGGCGGCUUGUCAAGUCCGAUGUGAAAGCCCGGGGCUCAACCCCGGAAGUGCAUCGGAAACUGGCUCGCUUGAGUACGAGAGAGGAAAGCAGAAUUCCUGGUGUAGAGGUGAAAUUCGUAGAUAUCAGGAGGAAUACCCGCGGCGAAGGCGGCUUUCUGGCUCGAUACUGACGCUCAUGGUCGAAAGCGUGGGGAGCAAAC
rnacentral:rRNA from 1 species